AACACCGAGUUAGACACCCUGUCAAGGGAUGAAUGUUGCCGACCGCUUACUUCUCUAGUUAUACCAACAACUACUAAAGUUGGUAUAACUAGUGAAGCAAGUAGUCGGCAACAUUCAUCCCUUGACGGGGUGUCUAACUCGGUGUUACGGUGUGUUUGACCCUAACUUAAUUUUACGCCGGAAUAUUUCUUUAGCUAAUCAGGAGAUGUGACAGUGAAGCAUAAUCUGGUAUGAUAAAUGAACGUAGAGGAGAUAAGUGGUGUCUAAUGAAGAAGCCACUUUGUCUGAGGGGGACAAGCCAACGAACAUCACCAUUCAGUGAAAACCAGCAAAGUUUACAUAUUAAUAUACGACAUGUAAAUAAUGUAAUAAUGUGUCAAUCAAAGACAGAGAAAUGUAAAUUAAUAUAGCAACAAAAAGUGAUAUCAGCUGUCCUUGUUCCCUUCUCUUUUCAUACCUUCAGUCUCUUUUCUGCCCAGAGACCCAGUGCCUCAUGGUUUAUGUCUGAUGAUGACAUUGAUGAUGAAGUAUUGAGGACCUGUAGUCUCUAGAGUUCUGGGUGGCUCACAUCCUCUUCUCUCUGUCUCUGAUAUGAUUGGUCGUCGAGUUAAUUGCGGAGGUCACGGAUGGUUUGGGAAUUGAACUUCUCCCUUUGAGACCAUAAAAACUAGAUCACUCAAAAGAAGACGGCAUCAUUCAAAGUAAACGAUCGCUAUAAUAAUAAAGACUGAUUGUGACCAUUUUUUUAUUCUUUGUAAAGAACCAUUCAGUGAUUAAACUUGAGUAAACCUAUUAAUGUAAAGUGAUUUCCAAAAGAAUUGGAUAAAUGAAGAGCUUGAUGGCAAAUUACUACCUUCUGCUAGCAACACAAAAUGAAAGUGUGUGAAUUUUCUCUCUCGUGUGAGGGUGUUUGUGCAAAAGUAGAAGAUCAUUUCAAGUGGAGAGCAUGAGGGGAUGUCACUGAAAAGGCAUAUGUGUGUCAAGAGCAGAAAGAACAUGGUCAAAAGCGAGGAAAGCUUCUGUAGUUUCCACUGAAAUUUAGUUUGGGUAGUUGGCUUUAAGUUUGGGAUUUGAAAAAAAAUUGUAUCUAUUCUGCAGACAUCCAUUUUGAUCAGGAUGACCAUACGUCCUCUUUUACCCGGAUAUGUCCUCUCUUUUGGGGGCUGUCUCAACUGUUUUGUCCGGCUUUGUCCGAAGUUUAUAAAAUCCUUUAAAUAUCCGCGGUUUUGUAAGUUUCAAGUUUGUGUCAUGAGGACUUAUUGAGUUAGAAGCGUGUAGCAGACACUUGAUCCGACCCGAAAAACUCUCAAAAUGUACUUCGUGCGACUCUGUGACUCCGCCCACGUGUAGUCGUGUCCUCUCUUUGGGAAGUCAGAAUAUGGUCACCCUAAUUUUGAUACAUAAUACCUUUCCACUGUAUAAGUAGGACAUACCUUGCAAUGUAGUAGGGCGGUAGUGUGAUUGUGAUUUUAUAAAGUUUUUAAGACAAUUGAUACCAACUCAUCUGAUCAAUGCCAAACUUGAUUGUCAGUAUCUCUUAUUCAUCAUAUUUACUGUCAUUGCCGGCAGCAUUAAACUAUAAUAAAUGUUGCUAUCAUGCUAAAAAGAAGCAUAGCGUUCAUUUAUGUUGUCUUUUACUCCAUAUGAAAACUUUCACUUGGUCUUAUGAGGAUAUAAAAAGGCCAGACGGACAGCUAACUGAUGCAUGAGUGUCCAUGAUUAGCGCUGAGCUCAGCCGGGUUAUCGAGAAGGUAAUUUAUGAUACUACGGUGCGACAGAUGUUUGGUGUGUUGGGAUAAAUAACCUUAUUUAGUGGGUAGUUCCAGUUUUGAUUGGACAGAUGAUGGUCCUUCUUAUAUUUUAUGGGUAAGAGUUCUCCAUGUAGUUUAGCUGCUGAUUUAUUGUAAGUUUGCCCUCAGUCAGGACUUCUGUAAGUCCAGAGUUUUUUGAUCAUGUCAUCAUUAUGAAACGUACAUGCCUAGAAAACCUCAGCAGCCAACUGUAUAUAAAAAAUAAUGGGUAGGAUGGUGGUUGUGAUCACCUUCACACAUGUUCUGCAGGUUUGACAACAUUAAAGGUUAGAGUACGGAGCCAAGACCUGGUGUUGGGUUGUAUUUCUCACCCUGUCUCUUGGUUAGACUUGUACAUUCCUUUCCAGAGGCAGGUUGAUCUCAGUGCCAGGGGGGAGCUGGAGUAACAGAUGGUUGCUGGAGCAAGUUUGGCCUUUCCCCAUCUCUCCCUCUCCCACUUCUUCUCUCUCUCUCCCCCUCUUCUUACAAUAACCCCACUGCUGUUCUCAAAGUAACCCUAUCUGCCAAGUCUGAAGGAUUGGAUUUUUUACUGGACACAUGAGCUCAGCAGUGUACAAGCAGUGGACACUCUGAUCCCCUCUGUCUUUCAACUUCCUUCCUGCACCUUCAUCUCUCUCUUUGUCUCCACUCGCUGUUUCAUUUCUUCCUCCUCCCUUGGCCCAGGAUCCCUUUGUCUCCUUUAUCUGCCUCCACCUCCUCUCCUCAGCUCAUCUGUCAUCGCCGCUUGUUGAGUCAACCGUUCGUUCUCUUCCUUCCUCCUCCCGGUGUUGUUUCAUCAUCCAGAAAUCCCAACCAUGACUAGGCUUUAUCAGCUAGCUUGUAUAAAUCUAACUCCAAUCUAAUCUCGUACAUCUGCUGCGAUAUUGUUCUGGUUUUCUUUGUUUCAUUGUGACUUCAAGCAGCUUGCCUCUACUGUAUCAUGUCCUCCAGACUGUGCUGAUAGUCUUAUCGCAGAAAAUGGUGGAUAUUUAAAAAAAAAAAAAAGGCUGGUUUGAGGUUCUUGUGGCGCUGCUUGGUUGACUGUUUUUUGUUUCAUUUUGGAGGUUAAUCAGGGAUACGCACAUGCACAGACCCAUACAAACACACUUAUUAAGGAUAUUAGAUUUAAACAGGCACAGCAUGGUGUAGGAAAGACAGCCAGCUGUUCUCCGGACCAUCCUAGAUUUCUGAAACAGUGGCCAUCUGUGGCGCAGAGAUUGAGGGGGUGACCCGUUUUGAAUUCAAAACAUCUACAAAUCAAAUGCGGGACCACACACGCACGCACAUUCGCCCAACCUCUGCUCCAUCAAAGACGAAAUUCAAAUCACAAGAGUUAAGAAGGGGGGAAGCUGGCUCUCUGUGUGUCUUGCCAUCUUUCCAUCCACAAGGUGAGCUCCCUCUACCUCCUCCUUCUCCCUCUGACGCUAUUGUAAAUGGAAUGAGUCUGGUUGCAUUGCUGUAUUACGCUGGGAUAAAGUAUCAGUGCUGGUAAUCUUCCGUGGAUUAAUGGCUUCUUCUUUAUCUGCUGCGGCUGCUCCACUCAGAUGUCUGGCCGGGCCAGGAGCCUCCUGCUGGAAUACUAAUGACAGACAGACAGACAGCUCCAGCUCUCCCUGUCCCCAGCCCCAGCCCAGCCCACGGGAGCUGUACAUGUGUGUGUGUGGAAGAGUGAGUGAAAGAAAGGGAGCACAUAUGUGUGAAGUGUAUGUGCAUGUAAAAGGAGAGACAGAGAAGGAGACUUGCACGUGUUAAGAGUGUGCGUGCGUGUGUGUGUUUUGCCCCCAAGACCCUGUCGCCUCCUUUGUGAGGUAUAGUCGCUGUCCUCCUUGUCCUGGCUGACACCUGCUUUGCAUACAGGAGGGGCCAAGCGGGGAGGAGGGGAGGGGCAAUGGUGGUGAAAUGAGGGUCCCCCAGGAUGUGAGAGAGGGACACAGAAGGGGGGAGUGAGGAAGGGAGAGGAGGGAAGGAGGAGAUACAGCAGAUUAGUAGGAGAAAAUAAAGCAGACUGAUGGAGAGAGGGGAAAUGGAGAAAGGAACAAUGGGAAAUAUGAACAGAUACGAGCCACUGGACUGUGUAACGUCACCCAUGCUGUGUAAAUAACCUGCAGUAGGGUGUUGUCAUUGUGGUUUGGCAACUCCAAUUUCAUUUCCUUUGCAAGGUCACAUCUAGCCCAUACAGACUCUGGGCUAAGAAUAUCUAGUAGGUCCUUUAUGAAAAGGAAAAAGACCAACACCAAACGCCAUCUGCUUCCUCAGUGAAAGAAGAAAAGAAGAGGUGGAGGAGCAGGAGGAGGGGGAGCGAAAGGGGCACACCAUGUACCAACUACUGGCCGGGCUUACGAGAACAGAAAAUACAGAGGAGAACAAAAGAGGGCACCAAGCUCACCUCAUGGAGGUGGAGCAGGAACCAAUGUGAGAGUAAGAGAGCCAACAGAGCGCCCAACUCAAGAAACAUCUGAGGAAACUUUACUUUAAAUCAAACCGUCCUAAACAAACAUAACUCUACGACUUAGAAAAAUACCAGUAAAAUAAAUUCAUGUAUUCAAAUGACUCCCUCAGUGAAUUUGUAGCGACCGUUGUGUCUGCACCCUACCAAAGAUCAAUACUGGAACAUAAAGACAAAAUUAAACAGAUCCUUAAGAAGAAUCUAUCUGCUGUAAAAAAUAUGACAAAGAUUGUGAAAUGUCACUAUUGGUCUUGGCAGAAGUGUUAUGACGCCCGACAAUGAUGGUCACCAAACUGAAAAUGUUGGCAAUCCAUCUAACCCAAGGUAAAAGGGAGGAAGAACUUCACACUUGUCAGUCAACUCUGCCUUGACUCUAAUUAUGAAAGUGUACGUAUAACUCCAACCCUGUCAUAUUAUCUAAACAGAUCAGAUCUGUGAGUAUGAAUAAAGAAGCAAACUUUUAAGACAGGACUUUUUAAAAUUCAAAUCCGGCUGUACACGUUUUUUUUCUCGGCUGUAAGGAAUUUCUUGGCUUUCCAAGAAAACACAAGAACUACAUUGAUUUUGCUCUUCAAGUUUAAAGGUUGCUGCUUAAAACUCGAUUUUUCAAGUUGUGGUUUUACAUUUCCUGGGUGUUCUCCUCUUCACUUCUCAGUACAAGCUCUUUUUACUCUCUCAGUGUCCAAAGUCAGAGUGUUUAACCAAUUUUGUAUCAAAUUUUGUGCUAGCAACGUAACAAGACUAUUUUGAGUGAACUUUGUAAGACAGCUGCUAAUUAUGGUAUCAAUACUAUGAUAACUAGCUUCUACAUAUGGUAUGGUGUCACACUUCUUUUAAAGAGAUGUGCAUAACUACUAAAAACCAACCUAAACUAAGAUCUUCCAUGUGUAUUAAAACAGAAAGUUGACUAGGGUGACCAUAUUCUGACUUCCCAAAAAGAGGACAUGAGUACGUGGGGGCGGAGUCACGGAGAGUUUUUUCGGGUCGGAUCCAGUGUCUUUUAUGCUUUUCUAACUCAGUAAGUCCAUGUGACACAAAAUCGAAACUUGCGUAAAAAACCGCAGACAUUUGAAGGAUUUUAUAAAUUUCCCCGGACAAAGCUGGACAAACCCGGACAGCCCCCCAAAAAGGAGGUCAUGUCCGGGAAAAAGACGACGUAUGGUCAUCCUAAACACUGUCAGGAACAAAGAGUGGAGCUGUUGUAGAGUGACGACAUAAUAAUUACAAAAAAACAAACGGGGGAAAAAAAUAUUUUUAUUCAUCUGACUUAAUUUUCAUGAUGUUUACAUGAAAAUUCCAGAAGACAAUUAGCUUUUAAUUGAAAACGGUAAGAAAUACUGAAUGUUCAACAUGGUCUCGAAAGGCAAAAUUCACUAUAAAGGUAAUGUAUGUUUGUAAAGUAGAUUAUACUUUUUACUGCAAAUUUUUUUUUUGUAUCUGGAUGAAGUUUUUAUAGUUGUUAGCAACAUUGUUCUGAAAACUAUAAACAAUAUCGGAACGUUUUAAAAAGGAUGAGCUAUUACAGCUCGUUUAGUCAGACACCAACAAACCUGCAAUAAAAUUUUGUUGUUGGUUUGUUGACACUGUGACAGAGGUUUUAAUUACCUUUAUAGUCACUUUGAGGGAAAAUCUACUACAGCACUGCGACAAUAGCGUGACUUGUUUGAAAUGAUAAACUGAUUGAAUAUAUUUACGUGCGAAUACCCAAGCUACACUGCAGUUUUCUGCGUAUUUGACGUGUUUAUAUAUUCUGUAAAAGUAUAAAAUGCUGUCCAAAAGUUAAAGCCCUCUCAGCAAAUAGUUUGUAUCCAUAUUUAAGUGCGAAAAAGUCUACACAAACAAGCAGAAGGAAACCCUCUCAUUCUCCGAUGCCUCUCUCGCAUUAAUACACACAAAUACACAAACAUGAACACACAGUCAGCCAGUCCGCUAGUCAGAUUACAGUAGCUCCAUUUUUUGGCAUUCUCCUCGCAGCUGUUCUUUACAAGCCAGAUCUUGAAUGGUGGGAGACAUCGGCCGUUUGGAUUGGCGCUCAGUCAGAGCUCUCUGAAGAGACUGCUGUGUUUGUGCAUGUGCGAAAGUGUGUUUUUUGUGAGAGAGAGGGAGAAACAUGUCAUGCACACAACACCAAAAUGUUGUCAUCAUGUAGCUCCAUGCACUUUUUUUUUUUGCUCAGUCCUUCAGUUCGCUUUCCCCCUCUUCACUCUUUCUUGCCCUCUAUUUGCCUUUC